rnacentral:rRNA from 1 species
AUUGAACGCUGGCGGCAGGCCUAACACAUGCAAGUCGAACGAGUGGCGGACGGGUGAGUAAUGUCUGGGAAACUGCCUGAUGGAGGGGGAUAACUACUGGAAACGGUAGCUAAUACCGCAUACCAUCGGAUGUGCCCAGAUGGGAUUAGAUAGGAGGUGGGGUAAAGGCUCACCUAGGCGACGCUCCCUCGCUGGUCUGAGAGGAUGACCAGCCACACGAGAACUGAGACACAGUCCAGACUCCUACGGUAGGCAGCAGUGGGGAAUAUUGCACAAGUGGCGCAAGCCUGAUGCAGCCAUGCCGCGUAGAUGAAGAAGGCCUUCGGGUUGUAAAGUACUUUCAGCGAGGAGGCGUUACCCGCAGAAGAAGCACCGGCUAACUCCGUGCCAGCAGCCGCAGUAAGUC